rnacentral:tRNA from 1 species
GGUAGGUAUCUCAGUGGUAGAGUGCUUGCCUUGCAUGCAUGAGGCCCUGGGUUCGAUUCCUCAGCACCA